AGCGAACGCUGGCGGCGUACUUAACACAUGCAAGUCGAACGAGGAGCUUCCGUGUAGCAAUACAUGGGGGUUUCUAGUGGCGUACGGGUGAGUAACACGUGGGCAACCUGCCCUUGAGUCCGGGAUACCCUCUCGAAAGGGAGGCUAAUACUGGAUACGUUCCUCGGGUCGCGAGAUCUGGGGAGGAAAGGUAGCGAAAGCUGCCACUCAUGGAGGGGCUCGCGGCCUAUCAGCUAGUUGGUGAGGUAACGGCUCACCAAGGCUAUGACGGGUAGCUGGUCUGAGAGGACGACCAGCCACACGGGAACUGAGACACGGUCCCGACUCCUACGGGAGGCAGCAGUGGGGAAUUUUGCACAAUGGACGAAAGUCUGAUGCAGUGACGCCGCGUGGGGGAUGACGGCCU
rnacentral:rRNA from 1 species